rnacentral:tRNA from 1 species
GAGGGUAUAGCCCAGUCGUAGAGCACAUGCUUAGCAUGCAGGAGGUCCUGGGUUCAAUCCCCAAUACCUCUA